AUCCAUCUGUUUGGCAGACCUGGAGCAGUUAGUGUCUGCUGCUAAGGAUUCCAUUACAGAUGUGAGAAAACAAAAGUGUUCUUCUGCUUUCUGUCUGUCUCAGUGGCAACGAAGAUUGAAUGGGGGAUAUGACAG
ensembl:snoRNA